GGCCUCGUGGUUGAGUUGGCUAGAGCAUUGCCUGUACUAUAGCCUUCCCCUUGCUGGCGUGGAUUCAAAUCCCACCGAGGCCA
rnacentral:tRNA from 1 species